CUCUCUCCCCUCGCCUAUCUCCUCCCCCGACGCGCCUGCACCAACAGUGGAAGAGCUCGCUAGCGAAGCAGGCCUGGGUUGCGGCGCACAGCGUGAACGCGUUCGGCAAGAGACCCUCCUCGAGCGUCUCACCGAAAAGGCGGAGCGCCUCCGCCUCAGCGCCAUUUUGCGAGAGGCAGGACACCAUGGCCGUCCAGGAGAUGAGGUCCCGCAGGCCGACGGGCAUUCCGUCGAACACGCUGCGCGCGGCGGCCACGACGCUACACAUGCAGUAGAGCGUGAGGAGCGAGUUGGCGACGACGGAAUCAGUCUCGACCUAUAGGAAUCGUUGAAUGCCCGGUACAACCGAUCAAGUUUCGACAACCCCUGGUUCGUCAUCGGGGUCUCCUACUCCGGCGCUCUCAGCGCCUGGUUCAGGCUCAAGUUCCCCCAUUUGACAUGUGGGAGCCUCGCGAGCUCAGGGGUGGUUCUUGCAGUGUACAACUACACCGACUUUGACAAGCAGGUUGGAGAGUCAGCUGGUCCUGAGUGCAAAGCUGUCCUUCAGGAAAUAACUGAACUCGUUGACGAACAGCUCCGGCUGGAGAGUCACUCGGUGAAGGCUCUAUUUGGAGCACAGAUGCUGAAAAACGAUGUCGACUUUCUCUUCUUCCUGGCGGAUGCCGCAGCGAUAACAGUAUGCGUAAUUUUUUUUCUAAGUUGCUUUAUUAUAGAAGUACGUUUUGUGGAUGUUUGAGAGUGGAUGCUAUUUUGCAGUUCCAAUACGGGAACCUAGAUGCCUUGUGCCCUCCAUUAAUACAGGCAAAGAAGAACAGGAAAAACUUGGUGGUACAUGUCCCUUCUAUAAUUGUACAUGAGAUCUGUAAAAUCUUACUGGAAGACAGAAGGAGCCAGCAAAGAAAUAACUAUCCUUGUAUUAACAUUUUAAUGUAAAUUGUUUUACCAAUUAAACUCCCCUGCCAAUAGCAAAUAAGAGGAAUAAGCAUAGUAGUUUAAUCUAUAAAGAUGGAAAAUAGUUACACUGUUGAGUGAAAAUUCUGCAGGCAACCUGUCGAUGGAUGACCAAACACAUUAUACAAUUUUACUAUUAUAUCUUCCUCUUUUAGAGCAUCCUUUUUGAUCUUCCAUUUACUGGUUUUGCAGGAAGCAUAUGCUCAAUUUGUGUUUUUAGAUCCAUGAUAUGUUGUCGGUCUGUUGUUUGUAGUCCUAGAUAUCUUCGUUUUUGUCACUACUAAAAACACCGAUCGGUUCUGAUGUACUGCUAUUUAUUGCUCUGAUAUUUUUGUCAUGUAUGUGAUUGGUGACUUGGGCUUUACUAGAGGAACAUUCGUGGUAUAGUUUUGAAGAGAGAAGUGAGUCAUAAAAUUAGAGAUAUCUGCAUUCAUUGUGAUCUAUCUUUAACACUUCAUUUUUACUGUAGACAUCAAGUAAGUGGCGACAUCACAACCCCUACAAGUUUGUGCCUCAAAACAAGAGGAUACAAGAAGUUGGAGUGCUUUUGUGAAGGCUUUUGCGAAUCACUUGAAACGUUGGUACUUUUGUGAAUGAUUUUGUAAAGUGUUUGCAAAUAUGUGCAAAACAUAAUAACAUGUGUAGGUUUUGUG